AAAUGCAUUACAGGGUAAGAUCACCCUUGGCAGGAAUCCAUUACUUCAUUUUUGUAUGUUUGUGGUGAGUUCUCUGCCAAAAGGAGAUUUGCCCGGUAAUUCUUUU
rfam:Arabis alpina cultivar Pajares chromosome 4, whole genome shotgun sequence.